AUGAAAUGUUACUGUGAGAGGAUAGUAUCUUGUAAAUUAGACUUGCUCACGGCGAGAAAAUUCUGCACUACCAAAGCAUUUUUACUCAAAACCACAAAUUUGUCAGGAUACCCGAAUUUAAGCCAGAUGUCUGUUCCGCUCAACAGAAUUUCAGAGCCGUUAAGUGGUAUUAUCACCAAAUAAGUAUUAACAAGUUUAAUUUAAAAAAAGUUAACUUUGACUUUAAGAAAAUAAUACAAAUAUAUACAUGAAAUGUCCAAUAUUACACUGUCAGUUCAUUAUUAUUUUUAAUAAAAGUAAAUGAUUUUGUAGUCAUUUUGCAGACCUAUGAAAUAAGAUAGACUUGUUUAGUUUAGUACUCUUCCAAUAACUCGUCUCAUAAUCUGAAUCAUAAUAAUUCCUUCUAUAAUAAUACACAGGCACAAUUUCAUUUUAUAUAGAACUGGACUGCCCUUAUGGGUGGGAUUAAUCUGAUAUACCUUGGAUCUGAGCAGAGAUUUACCGAAGGGCAAGCUACUGACCUCCUCUAAGCUUUCAUUCAUUCUCAUAGUACUCAUAUUCUCUGUUCUUGUUGCAAUCUAUUCAAUGUAGGCCUGAAAAAAAGUAUUUUUUCUACCAUAAUUAGCAUCUCUCACAUUCUUUUUCAAGCUCUGAUAUGUAUGCAGUCUAUUUAAUUAUUCAGAUUAAGAUAUAUUAAUCAUGCAAAGAACCAAACUAUGCUGUGUUUCACAUAAACAUUUUAAAGGGACACUAUAGUCAUCAGAACAACUACAGCUUAUUGUUCUGGUGAGUAUACUCCUUGCCUUCAGGGUUUUUGCAAGAAAAAGCUUUUAAGAGAAAUUGUAGUGUUUACAUUACAGCCUACAGAGUAUUGUUCUGGUGAGUAUACUCCUUACCUUCAGGCUUUUUCAGAGAAAAUGCAGUGUUUACAUUACAGCCUACUGACAACUCAACUGACCACUACUGAGAUGGCUACUAGAGGUGCUCCCUGGGGCAGUGCUGCACACUGUGCAGUACUGCCUUUUUAGUGUUUCCAUCCUCUGCAUGCAGACAUUGAUCUUUCCUCGUAGAGAUGCAUUGAUUCAAUUAAUCUCUAUGAGGAGGUGCUGCGUGGCCACGGCUGUGUUUUGACUUGUGCUUGUUCUGCCCCUGAUCUGCCUCCUUGACAGACUCAGUCACUCCUAUGGGAAAGCAUUGUGAUUGGCUCACAGAAUCACUUCUGAUGAUGUCACAGACAGCAGGCAAUUCAGGGGCAGAGGCAGCAGCUGCAGACAUGAAUACAAGUAAGAUUUUACUAUAUUUAGGGAGGCAAGGGGUGCUAGAUGAUGUUUUUAACACGAUAGGGUCAGGAAUACAUGUUUGUGUUACUGACCUAUUAUUGUUCCUUUAAGUUGUUUCUUUGAGCCUUCAUAUACUGCUGGUUAAAAGCCUCUUGACAAUGCAUACGCAAUCAAAAUGAUUAUUCACUAAACAGUAAUGUGUGGUGUUUUGAGAAUUAACAUUUUAAAGGACAUCGAGAUUUAAUAGUCCUAAGUAAAUGCUGAAUCCUGGCUAAUAACAACUCUCUAAAAUGGUCUCCCAUUAAAAAAUAAAAGAUUGGGUUAAUUACGCUGUUUAAGAAAGCUAAAGGUCUUGUUAUAAUAUAUACUGAAUUGAUUAUCAUAUGACAGCAGCCACUGAGCUCCCAAGAAUAUGCUCGUGAUGCAAGCCUUACAUUUCUCAUUAUGUGGUAAGGUGUGAAGAGGACAGAAAAUACUACUACAGCCAUGGUCACCAGCGUGAGUGGUUUUUCAAUAGAAAAUGAUGUGGCAAUUUGAUCAUUUCUGUUUCUUAAAAAGUGAAUUAUUUUAAAGUAAAAAAUGCACAUAAAGCACAAAGGGAUUACAAAACCAGUGAAGGUAAGACAAAUACUGAAAAUGAGACUUUGUGAAGCGUUCCCAGAGCUUCCAUAGCUCAGACACUGUCUGUUAUUGUCCAUGUCAAUGAAAAUAAGUAUUGGGGAGAUUUCAAGCAUAACUACAAUCCAUAUGGCAAUAGAUAUGAAAAUAGCCGUGCUCCUCCUUUGCAGCCUGUGUUCUCGGAACGGGUGCUGCAUCAGCAUGUAUCGAUCAAUACUGAUGAAUGUAAGGAAAAGUAUGCUGGUAUAGAGAUUGGCAUGGAGUAAGUACCUGUUACUUUGGCAUAGAACACCGCCAUAUCUCCAGGUUUCAUUGGCAUAACUUUCA